UACGAGGGGGGCGAGCGUUGUUCGGAAUUAUUGGGCGUAAAGGGCGCGUAGGCGGUGCCACAAGUCACCUGUGAAAUCUCCGGGCUUAACUCGGAGCCUGCAGGCGAAACUGUGGUGCUGGAGUGCGGCAGAGGGGGAUGGAAUUCCGCGUGUAGCAGUGAAAUGCGUAGAUAUGCGGAGGAACACCGAUGGCGAAGGCAAUCCCCUGGGCCUGCACUGACGCUCAUGCACGAAAGCGUCGGGAGCAAACAGG
rnacentral:rRNA from 1 species